AUUCCAGCUCCAAUAGUGUAUAUUAAAGUUGUUGCAGUUAAAAAGCUCGUAGUUGGAUUUCUGAUCGAAGCGACCAUACCGGGCUUGAUUGUCCGUGUAAUGUGUUGUCUUCAGUCAUCCUUGUGGAGAGUAUUUCUGGCAUUAAUUUGUUGGAGGUAGGACCCGCAUCAUUUACUGUGAAAAAAUUAGAGUGUUCAAAGCAGGCAAUUCGCUUGAAUACAUUAGCAUGGAAUAAUAAGAUAGGACUUUGGUGCUAUUUUGUUGGUUUGCACACUAAGGUAAUGAUUAACAGAAUCAGUCGGGGUAUUCGUAUUCAAUUGUCAGAGGUGAAAUUCUUGGAUUUAUAGAAGACGAACUACUGCGAAAGCAUUUACCAAGGAUGUUUUCAUCG
rnacentral:rRNA from 1 species